rnacentral:tRNA from 1 species
ACCUAUACACGGGUCCGUAUACUGACUGUCAUCUGUGAGUACGCGAAGUUCAACUGUUCGCGUU